rnacentral:rRNA from 1 species
AACGAACGCUGGCGGCAUGCCUAACACAUGCAAGUCGAACGAGACCUUCGGGUCUAGUGGCUCACGGGUGCGUAACGCGUGGGAACCUGCCCUUAGGUUCGGAAUAACUCCCCGAAAGGGGUGCUAAUACCGGAUAAUGUCUUCGGACCAAAGAUUUAUCGCCUUUGGAUGGGCCCGCGUUGGAUUAGCUAGUUGGUAGGGUAAAAGCCUACCAAGGCGACGAUCCAUAGCUGGUCUGAGAGGAUGAUCAGCCACACUGGGACUGAGACACGGCCCAGAAUCCUACGGGAGGCAGCAGUGGGGAAUAUUGGACAAUGGGCGAAAGCAUGAUCCAGCAAUGCCGCGUGAGUGAUGAAGGCCUUAGGGUUGUAAAGCUCUUUUACCCGGGAUGAUAAUGACAGUACCGGGAGAAUAAGCUCCGGCUAACUCCGUG